GUACGUAAGUGUUUUGUCCAACUUUCUUCAUGAUAGUCCGUGGUUCCGUAAAUCUUGAAUAUCCUUUGGGAAUGUGCUCAGUAGCUCAAAUGGGGUUACUCCAGUUGUUGCAUGAGGAGUAGCUCGGUAGUUGUGGAGGAAUUCUGUUACAGCUUCAUUCCAUGAAUUGUGACUUCUUUCAUAGAAAAUUGUGAAAUGCAUGAGAAGUAAACUGACAACCAUUAUCUGAGACAAGGUACAUCGGAUUACCUUCUCUACUGAACACAGUGGCUAAAAAGCGAAUGAUAACAUCUGU